rnacentral:lncRNA from 1 species
AGAGAAAGGAGGAGUCUCUUCCAUAAGCCAGCAAUUGAUUUGUUCUACAAACUUUUCAACUAGACCAAGAAAAAUUUAGAUAUUUCAAUUAACUCAAAUGCAAUAUUAUGUUUACGUUGUAUUAGAGUUUAAUGCGGAAACGCCCUGAAUCGUCCAGUUUGAAGCAUUUCGAGCCGUAUCGACUGCGGACUGAGACGGUUCUGGCAACAAAAACGAGACCGACAUCGGAAAGAGAGAGGACGAAGAAAAAAAGAAAAAGAGAGAGAAAACGAGGGAGGGAGGGAGAGAGAGGAAAAUCAAGAUCGGGAAACCACUGCACAUAGGAGGGAGCCGUAGAAGAGAGGCUC